rnacentral:rRNA from 1 species
GAUGAACGCUGGCGGCGUGCCUAAUACAUGCAAGUCGAGCGAACAGACGAGGAGCUUGCUCCUCUGACGUUAGCGGCGGACGGGUUAGUAACACGUGGAUAACCUACCUAUAAGACUGGGAUAACUUCGGGAAACCGGAGCUAAUACCGGAUAAUAUAUUGAACCGCAUGGUUCAAUAGUGAAAGACGGUUUUGCUGUCACUUAUAGAUGGGUCCGCGCCGCAUUAGCUAGUUGGUAAGGUAACGGCUUACCAAGGCGACGAUGCGUAGCCGACCUGAGAGGGUGAUCGGCCACACUGGAACUGAGACACGGUCCAGACUCCUACGGGAGGCAGCAGUAGGGAAUCUUCCGCAAUGGGCGAAAGCCUGACGGAGCAACGCCGCGUGAGUGAUGAAGGUCUUCGGAUCGUAAAACUCUGUUAUUAGGGAAGAACAAAUGUGUAAGUAACUAUGCACGUCUUGACGGUACCUAAUCAGAAAGCCACGGCUAACUACGUG